rnacentral:rRNA from 1 species
AUUGAACGCUGGCGGCAGGCCUAACACAUGCAAGUCGAACGAGUGGCGGACGGGUGAGUAAUGUCUGGGAAACUGCCCGAUGGAGGGGGAUAACUACUGGAAACGGUAGCUAAUACCGCAUACCAUCGGAUGUGCCCAGAUGGGAUUAGCUUGUAGGUGAGGUAACGGCUCACCUAGGCGACGAUCCCUAGCUGGUCUGAGAGGAUGACCAGCAGAAGGGGAACUGGGAACCGUGCAAGACUCCGCGGGGAGGAAGCAGGGGGGAGGAGUGAACAAUGGGCGCAGGCCUAAGGUAGCCAUGCGGGGUGUAUGAAGAGGGCGUGCGGUUUGUAAAGUACUUUCAGAGGGGAGGCGUUACACGCAGAAGAAGCACCGGCUAACUCCGUGCCAGCAGCCGCGUAAUAC